GAGUUGUACUUGCUGUUUUUUCUCGAGGUGCUGGCGGGGGAGCAGUGCAAUGAAAUUUAUUGGGCAACAUCUCUCUGAACCCUGCAUUAACAUCUUGGUCAGCCGAUGUUGCAUUUCGUCACAUUUUUUGACUAGACCUUUCUGUCCAAGGUCGCCUCCAUUGUCAGAGUGAGGCUAAAUGCAAAUUGGAGGAACAGCAUCUCAUAUUUCACAUGGGCAGCUUACAGCUAAGUGCUUCAACUGGCUUCAACAACCUUUAGACUUGCUUCUCUCAAAACAUCAAGGACAUUUCCAUUUAAUGACCACCAAGGACACUGGGGACAUGGCAACCCUGCCGGCAGUCUGUUCGUUUUUUUAAUCGUUUUGUUAUUUUU